rnacentral:rRNA from 1 species
CAGUAGCCGCGGUAAUACGAAGGGGGCUAGCGUUGCUCGGAAUCACUGGGCGUAAAGGGUGCGUAGGCGGGUCUUUAAGUCAGGGGUGAAAUCCUGGAGCUCAACUCCAAAACUGCCUUUGAUACUGAAGAUCUUGAGUUCGGGAGAGGUGAGUGGAACUGCGAGUGUAGAGGUGAAAUUCAUAGAUAUUCGCAAGAACACCAGUGGCGAAGGCGGCUCACUGGCCCGAUACUGACGCUGAGGCACGAAAGCGUGGGGAGCAAACAGGAUUAGAUACCCCUGUAGUCCCUGUCUCUUAUAC